rnacentral:rRNA from 1 species
AUUAGCCAUGCAUGUCUCAGUACAAGCCGCAUUAAGGUGAAACCGCGAAUGGCUCAUUAAAUCAGUUAUGGUUCCUUAGAUCGUACCCACGUUACUUGGAUAACUGUGGUAAUUCUAGAGCUAAUACAUGCAAACAGAGUCCCGACCAGAGAUGGAAGGGACGCUUUUAUUAGAUCAAAACCAAUCGGUCGGCUCGUCCGGUCCGUUUGCCUUGGUGACUCUGAAUAACUUUGGGCUGAUCGCACGGUCUCCGUACCGGCGACGCAUCUUUCAAAUGUCUGCCUUAUCAACUGUCGAUGGUAGGUUCUGCGCCUACCAUGGUUGUAACGGGUAACGGGGAAUCAGGGUUCGAUUCCGGAGAGGGAGCCUGAGAAACGGCUACCACAUCCAAGGAAGGCAGCAGGCGCGCAAAUUACCCACUCCCGGCACGGGGAGGUAGUGACGAAAAAUAACGAUACGGGACUCAUCCGAGGCCCCGUAAUCGGAAUGAGUACACUUUAAAUCCUUUAACGAGUAUCUAUUGGAGGGCAAGUCUGGUGCCAGCAGCCGCGGUAAUUCCAGCUCCAAUAGCGUAUAUUAAAGUUGUUGCGGUUAAAAAGCUCGUAGUUGGAUUUGUGUCCCACGCUGUUGGUUCACCGCCCGUCGGUGUUUAACUGGCAUGUAUCGUGGGACGUCCUGCCGGUGGGGCGAGCCGAAGGCGCGCGGCCGCCUUGUGCGUGCCCGUGCGUCCCGAGGCGGACCCCGUUGAAAUCCUACCGCGGUGCUCUUUACCGAGUGUCGAGGUGGGCCGGCACGUUUACUUUGAACAAAUUAGAGUGCUUAAAGCAGGCAAGCCCGCCUGAAUACUGUGUGCAUGGAAUAAUGGAAUAGGACCUCGGUUCUAUUUUGUUGGUUUUCGGAACCCGAGGUAAUGAUUAAUAGGGACAGGCGGGGGCAUUCGUAUUGCGACGUUAGAGGUGAAAUUCUUGGAUCGUCGCAAGACGAACAGAAGCGAAAGCAUUUGCCAAGUAUGUUUUCAUUA